rnacentral:misc_RNA from 1 species
GAGUACUUGUACCUACAAUAGAAUAAUGUAAUAAACUACAAUUGUUAGCAAACCAUUGCUCCUUUUUCUUUCAACGUUUAUGUAAUACGAACAUUCCUACUAAUAAUAAAGUUUGUAUUCCCUAACCGUUUAACGUUUUGUUAGUUUUCAUUGAAUCGACGUGCGUGAAUAAUAUAAUUUCUGGCUCUGAGCUCCACAACAAAAUGUUACUAUUUUCGAGUUAUUUUACUCUUUUAUAAUACAACAAUCAAAACACAUUGACGAAAUCGAAUUGACCACCUCAAAAUAUCUUUAAGGUUAGACUGCUAAAUACAAUUUGUACGGAUUAUUUAUUUAAAAAAAAAAGAUAUAAAUGCGUCAUAAGUAAUCAAAAUUAACCAUGUCUUUUUAUUCGUCUAAAUAAAUUACCAUAUUUCCCGUUAAUUUUUUUACUAUUCUCAUAAGUAUAACGUUUCUUCUAAUGUCUUUGCAGGUACAGAGUGAAGACACUAAUUGAGCGGUAGGAAACACACGUGAGUUUGUGUGUGAAUAAUAAUCGCGAUUCGCACGUGGGCAGACUGACAAGCGAGGUAACGCCAAAAUCUAUACAUUCUAUCCAAAUUAGUAAUAUCUCUAACACGCAGCAUCGCAAACAAAGAAAUAUGCAAUAACAAAAACUCGCACGUCAUAACUAUAAAUCUACACUUCAAAAUAUGAAUCUAGAUCAAUUUGAAAUAAUAUUUUGUCAAUAUAUUUGCUGAUAAAAUUUUGUCGAUUGAUAUGAUCCGCAUGAAGCGAACAGUAAAUAUUUCCAUCGCUUAAGUAUAUAAGUAAAAACUAACUAACAUCGGCUGUUAUGCUGAAGUAGUGCGGGGAGUCGAUAGUCUUACACCUUGAAGCCAGGAGUCAUUUACAGCAAUUGCAUGAGUUAGGAUCACUUGUUGCCAAUCACUUCGUAAAUACACAUUUAUCAGUAACGGUGUCAGAAACCGGCCUCGAAGACACCAGCCAGCGUCGCAGGUGAAAGUCGCAGACGCAUAACUUGCUUCAACUAACGCGAACGUUCGCAAUAGUGUAGUUCGUCGAGUGCGAUUUUCUUUUGUCAAAUCCCAAACAAAUAAACAAAGGGUGCGUCAUUAUCACGUCUAACGAAGCGCACUCGAGGCUAGUCGGUGGUCGGCUGAUAGUGUGUGGUGUAGGCGCGGGCGCACGGGCACCGUUUGGCUUCAGUCGCGAACAUGUGGACAACGUGCGCCAUCGUAGCCGCCGUAGCGACACUCGCUGCGGCCGCAGACAUCGCUACUAACCUGAACCUGGAUGUGAACAAUACACUGCCAGUGCCAGCUGAACAAAAUGACACACUACCUGCAGAACAGUUUUUCAUUGACAAGAUAUUCGAUAAAUAUGGAGAUAAGGGCGUAAUCACAUUUGAGGGCUUCGAGCAUCUUAUGGACAGCCUUGGGCUCGGCGGCAGGGUUUUCAACUCGCCUCACGACGUGGCCCUUCACCGAGUCAACGGAUCCUUCCGCCAACUUCAUGACCAACAGCACCGGCAUAAAAGAUCACCAAAACCUACAGCUGAUCCUACGCUACAGAAGUCAUGCCUAUCGCCAAGGAAGAUGCUGGAAGUGUACGGAAUAGAAAGCGAACCCGGAGUGAUCACCAUCAACCCGAAGACUUUCCUGGAGAUGUGUCCAGCUUUAGUGUACCAACUGGAUCAACGCACGUGUUUCAAAUCAGAAGCACCACCUCCCCAGAUUGAAAGACAUUGGACUUGGAUCUAUGCGAGCUUGAGUAUUUUAGUCAUCAGUGCCACCGGUUUACUCGGAGUGGCGAUAGUUCCUCUGCUUAAAUCCGUUAUGUUUAGCUACGUUCUCCACUUUCUGGUUGCAAUAGCCGUCGGAACGCUGUGUGGAGACGCCUUACUUCAUCUAUUGCCACACGCUCUUAAAUCACACGGGUCUUCUUCUGAACCGCAAGAAGAAACUGAAGUCGUCCUCAAAUGCAGCGUGACUUUCCUGACUAUUUUGUUUUUCUAUACUGUUGAAGCUGUCAUGCAAACCCUGCAUGGAGGUCAUAAACAUUCACACGAUCAUUCCCAAGGAAAAACGGUGGAAGAAAUGAAAGCAGAAUCAGCUAAACAAAUCGAACCUAUCGAAUUAGGAGCUAUGAUGCCAGGUUCUCCGCCACCACCUGCAGAACGCCCAAUGACAUCAACGGCACUAAUGGUUAUAGUAGGAGAUGGAUUACACAAUCUUACCGAUGGUUUAGCUAUCGGUGCUGCGUUUAGUGGCGAUCCAGUAACAGGAUUUGCGACAGCUCUAGCUGUCUUCUGCCACGAGUUGCCCCACGAGCUCGGAGAUUUUGCCGUGCUUCUUCGCUCCGGCAUGAGCAUUAAACGCGCUUUAUAUUACAAUUUAUUGUCAUCUGUUCUUAGUUUUAUGGGUAUGGCUGGCGGUAUUUGGUUAGCGGAGGACCACGAAUCCGCUUCACAGUGGAUUUAUGCUGCAACUGCUGGAACCUUCUUCUACAUUGCUUUAGCUGACCUAGUACCGGAGAUAAACGAAAAUAAUCAUGGAAGAAGUAUUAACUUACUGUUAGCAGUGUUAGGUUUCCUCGCCGGGGGCGUUAUCAUGUUGCUUAUAGCCAUGCAUGAAGACUCAAUACAAUACCUCUUUAGGAGCUCAGAACAAUGAAUCUUGAGCAGUAAUAUAAUAGGUACUUCAUUAUUGUGAUAAAAACUCAUGGUUGUUGAAAAUGCUAGCAGGUAUUGCCAGUAAUAGCUAUUAAUUUUAGUUAGUAAUGAGUUUAAUUUUUUCGGGUUUUUAAUGAAUAACAGAACUCAUAAUAGUUCCAACAUUAUAAAGAGCCAGCACCAGGUAAGAUAUAAAAUAUAUCUAUGCCAAAUUUUGUCUCCCAACACUAAGUAGUUUCGGUCGACGCUCUUUCAGUAACUCAUAUGUACUUGAAUAAAGCUACACUUUAGUUAGUUGGACUGUUGAGCACAUAAAAGAACAACAUUGGAGCUAUAUCCAAAAAAUGUUUUUUUUUUUAAAUAGUACCAUAAUAAACUGUUACGUAAAUAAUAUAGAAUGAAAAACGACAUUAUUUGAAAGGCUUUUCAGUAAAUUUUACGAACUGAAUCAAAUUUUAUGAGCCUAUUGUUAUUCUUUCAUCAAAUCAGCAUAUAUCAUCAUAAACUGAAACACAAUUAACACUGGCAACAGUUUAUUUAUAUAGUUACAAUCGUAACUUUUCAAAUAAAUAUUUCCAUAAAGAGGAUCUAUUUAGAAGGUUCUUUUGAAUGGCACUAUUGCCAAGUUUGGGAGACUUCAUGGGUAUAUUAUAGGUGCGUUAUGUAGAAAGUAGAAAAGUAGAUACAUUCCACACAGUCUUCCAACUUUUAAUUAGAGUUAAGAUGUAUCUAAGUAAUUAUAGGUUUUGAUGUUAAUCAUAUUGAACAUGGAAAAUUUGGUUAAUUUAACCCUCAAUAUAAAUAAUUUGCCCUAAAAUGUUUAUAAGGUUGAAUGCGAUUUCUUUUAAAUUAUUUUCAGGAAUAAAGUUAUUUCAUUUUUGUUCCAAAUAUUCCAUGUCGCUUAAUAUCUAGAUACAUACCUGCCCAUCUAAAAUUUACGUAAGUAAAUCUACGUAAUAGAUUAUUCAUUCAAGAACGCUCAAGAGUCUAAAGAACCUAGGUCAAACAUACAACUUAGAUUUGGUACAUAUUUUAAAACAUACGACGCAUAUAAUAUACCUAGGUAUACUUGUUUCAUCAAGAGAAAUGAUACUCGUAAUACUGUUUGUGUAAACUAGGUACUCUACCUACAAUAAAUUGGUGAGCUCUAAACAUAUCGAAUAGAAUUUUAGAAUAUAAAUAAAUAUAAUUUAAUUAUUAUUGAUAACAUAAGUAAUUUAUAAGAAUAGUCAUAAG